AGGGUGAAUGGCAGUGAGAAACAGCUCUCUGAACUGACCUUGGGAGACCUGGAGAUUUUCCUAAGGAAGAGCGUGGACCAAAGCACGCAGGCAAGAAAGCACAUAAAGUCUUUAAGACAAUGGGAGCCUGACAAGACUCAAGAAAAGCACCGGCUGGAGGGAAACGGGGCAGAUGUGGCAAGAAAGGUUAUUUUAAACAAGUUGUGAAAGACCUGGACGCGAGACCAAGGGAUUUGGAGAUUGUAAAGUAGAAAGUCACUGACGUUUUUUAAGCUGGGUGAGAACGUGGCCAGAUCGCUCAAAGAAGAAAAAAAAAAUGUUGUUUUCUUUUCAGUAACUAAAAGCCAUAGAUCUAACUUCCUCCAUUUUUAUAUUUCUUGAGACUUCAUGAAAAUACAAAACAAAGACCAGCCGAAGCAAUUCUUUCCUCGCCUGAUCUGAACCCUGCGUGGUGGUUUUUUUUUUUUUUUUUUUCUUUUCCUUGUUUUCUGGCAGCUCUCUUGGUGAAGCGAGUGCAUCACACAGCUGGGAAAACACGAGCUUCUCAGUUUGUUUGGCUUCUGAGCUAUGUGGGUGAGCGCGAGUCUGGGCAGUGUGUCAGCUCCUUCCUGAAAGUCUGGGUCACGGAAGUCCACAGCACAACCUUGUUUACGCGAUUUUGCUUCCAGCGUCGAGAACACUGGUUGUGAUUACUGCAAAGGUGUAUGUGGUCACCGUUGGCUCUCAACCCUGCAAUUCCUUUGAAAAGAUGAUCUGACUGGGACAACGGUGACCUUAAAGUAACACCUCUGUUUCUUUAGAAAGCCCCGGAUGAAAAGCCAUGCGUUGUUUUCCCCACUGCCUUUGUGCUUGGCUAACCGCGAUAGCUUGUGGGCUCCCUGGGAGUCGUCCUGGGAGACGGAGUUUGCUGGGCUAGCAGAUUCGGCUGGGAGACGAUGAGUGAGUGACCAGUCUGAAGCAACUCUUCCAGCCCAGACACGUGAAGUUACAGUUCAUCAACACAUGUUUACAUGACUGUCUGCUGUGUGCCGGUCACUGGGAAGCCAGAUGAAUAAGACAGUUUCUAUCCCGGUCUGCUAACUAACUUGAAAACUCCUCCAAGCAUCCAGAUACAAGGCUCCAUCCAACACCGACCUCAAAUGCCAGAAUAAAAUGCUCACUCGGCCAAGCCUGCUCUGCUGAGGCUACGCAAGGAGAUGACCAGACCUUGUGAAAACACAGGGAGGGUGCAGGAAGGAAGUGGGAUACGAUUUUCCGGCCCGGAUUGAAAAAUCUGUUCCUAGCGCAGAUGUCUGCCAAGUAUAGAGUGCUUUGAAGAUACUUCGUUUUCAUGGGAAGCUGAGUUUGAAAAAGCAGAACAGAAAGAAGAGGUGAGGGACUCCAGGCUGCAGAUGAGAGAUCCAGUGGUCUUGUGAGGUCGGAAAGUUGCAAAGCACCUUCAAGAAGCGUGAUGUGUUACCAGGAAGCCCGAUCGGAAGCGGAGCAGCCAGGACUUGAACAAGCGCUCAGAUGGGAUGCCCGCAUUGCAGGUGACGGCUUAACCUGCUGUGCCACAGCACUGGCAGGGACUUUGUUUCUUUCUGCUGUUUAUUACCAGCACCCGGAAGAGUGCCUGCAGCUAACUAGUGCUCAGUAAGUCUCUGAAUUCAUGUUGGCCAACGCUGGGACUCUGUGGGCAAGGCUGCGGGCGGGGGUGGGGGGAGGCCAGGCUCCUUUCCCCACCGGGCCCUUGCCCUUGACCUUGCCCCUGGCUCCUUGCCCAGCGCCAUCCUUCCCGACUCACAGGAUGACCUCACACGAGCACUGUCUCUUUCUCACCUGCCCUCCCUCCCUCCCGGUGUCUCCAAGUGCAUGCAGACCAAAGCAGGUCUUGAGUUGAUGUUUCUCGGGAGGCUGGCCUAUGGGAUUUCUCUUUACUCUGCUAGCUCCUGUCUCUGGCCAGAAAAUGCUCAGCGUGUGUCUCUUAAAGUCACAGAGAUCAGAGUGACGCUGUCCUUUAAGCAGUGGUUUCCAAGCGGCCUCUGCCCAGUCGAUGCCAGCAGCACCGGCAGCACCCAGGAAUGUGUUAAAAAUGCAGGUUCUGGAACCCAUCUCCCAACCCCGGAAGACUGAGGCCCAGCAAUCUGCGCUUCUGAGAUCCCAGUGCGUAGCUUGGAAACCACUGCCCCAAGCCUCGGAGUCACUCCCAGACAGUGGUUCUCAGAUGGGACCCUUCUGUCCCCAGCAGGGCAUUCGGCGGUGUCUGGAGCGUUUCUCGUUGUUGAAGCUGGGCAGGUGCCACUGGCAUCUGGUGGACAGAAGCCAAGGUUGGGCUAACUCUCUUCGGACGCACAGGGCCGCCCCGCGUCAGAGAAUUAUCCAGCCCAGGUGGCAGCAGUGCCCAGGCUGAGAAAGCCUGCUCUCAGCUCUCCUUACCUUUCCCAUCCGUUCAGCUCUCCCUCCCUUCUUUCCUCUAACAUUUUCUGAGCAGCUAUAAUAACUGCUAGCAGUUAUAAUAACCAACCUGCCCAUCUCUGACAGUCAACUGUUGCGAGGAAGGCACAAAACUGGGCACCAGCUUUGUGGAAAUUUCCGUGCACAGAGACACUUAAGCUGACCUUUCAAUCCACUAUGUCAAGUGACAUCAGGGAGAAUGCUCCCAUCCCACAGGGGAAACCUCAGUGAGGGCUUCCUGGAGGAAGAGGCCUCUGUGCAGAGACUUCAAGACAGAGUUGGAAUUAGUCAAGGGAGCGAGCAGUAGAUAGGUAAUCACUUUCACAUGUGGAGCACUUCGUAUGUUUCAAUCGUCGUGCUGAGUGUUCAACCAACACUUUCUCAACUGAUCCCUGCAAUACCUGAGGUUGACACUACUGUUCUGUCCAUUGUACAGACAGGAACACUAAAGCCCAGAGACAUGAAAUACCUUGCCUACUGUUACUCAGCUGGGAAAUGUUGAAGCAGGAAUCGGAAUCCAUGUCUGUGGACUCUAAAGCCUAGAAGCAGAUGGUUGCUAUUUAUAGAGGGCACAGAAUUUUUUAAAACAUGCAGUGAACCCUUGGGUAUGGGCAGAUUUGUGUCUGUCCCCACCUCAAAUUCCUACGUUGAAUUCCCAAGCCCCAGCACCUUAGGAUGUAAUGGCGUUUUGGAGAGAGCUGCUUCAGAGGGGAUUCGGUUACUGAGGCCUUCAGAAUGGGCUUGAAUCCAAUGUGACUUGUGAGCUUGUAAGGACAGGAAGAGAUGGCAGGUGUGCAGGUGCACACAGCAGGCCAUGUGAGGACACAGGACGAAGGUGGCCUCUGCAGGCCGGGGCGGGGAGGCUCGGGAGAAGUCACACCUGCCCACACCUUCAUCUUGACCAUCUCAAAGCCUCCAGAACUGCGAGGAAGAUAGUUAUCUUGUUUCAGCCACCGGAUCUGUGGUCCUUUGCCACAGCAGUACCUUGUUCCUUCUUUGGGGGUAUGGCUUUUAUGGAGAACGUAAGGGCUGUUCAUUGAGCUCUGCUUUGUCUGCUGCAGAAUUAACCAGAAUGAGAGCCCUGGGACUUGCCCCUCUCCUUUUCCCCAGACUUGGGGCACCGCUGAACUAUAGCUGCUGGGAGACAAUGGCUCCUCCUGGCUUGUAUAAGACCUGAAAUUCAUGGAGACUGAGCAGGGUGUCCGCGGGGAGAGACAGCCUUAAGUGGGAGAGGCGGAUUCUCGGUGGUAAACAGGUAAUAGAGAUCUGAGGUUGCCGCCACGGAGGACCGAAGCCCUAUUUCCAUGUAGCAUCAUGAAGAACGGCUGUUGGACACCCGGCCCUGGCUGACAAUGCUGAAAUUCUUACUCAGCAGAGCACUGGGACCUGCAAUCAGAGAUCAUGGGCAUUUUGGCGACUGCCAGCGUGGACUCACGCUUGCAGGACCACUAAGAAGUUUCUCUCUGCUUCUGAGCCCUCUAGCUAAUGGUGCUCCUGGAGGGCGUGGGCUGCCAUUAGCCCCAGUAAAAGCUGAGAUGGAAUCUGCUAUCAGCCCCGAGAGAGGGAGGGCCCAUGUUAGACUGCGCUGAGUGUAAAGUUCAAAGGAAAGCAACGUGGUGUUUUUGUACACCCAAAUUCAUGCAUGGAGAUUCAAACCAACUGUGCUUGACAGCAGAAUUAGGAUACCAAAGAGCAAGGCAGAAGCUACAUCAAGAGAAGGCUGCAGGGGCCAGCGCUGUGGCACAGUAGGUUAAAGCCCCAGCCUGCAACACCGGCAUCCCAUAUGGGCACCGGUUCUAGUCCCGGCUGCUCCACUUCUGAUCCAGCUCUCUGCUAUGGCCUGGGAAAGCAGUGGAAGAUGGCCCAAGCGCUUGGGCCCCUGCACCUGCGUGGGAGACCCGGAAGAAGCACUUGACUCCUAGCUUCGGAUCAGUUCAGCUCUGACCGUUGCGGUCAUCUGGGGAGUGAACCAGCAGAUGAAGGACCUCUCUCUCUCUCUCUGGCUCUACCUCUCUGUAACUCUG